rnacentral:rRNA from 1 species
GACAGAGGGGGCAAGCGUUGUUCGGAAUCACUGGGCGUAAAGCGCACGUAGGCGGAUUGUUAAGUCGGGGGUGAAAUCCUGGAGCUCAACUCCAGAACUGCCUUCGAUACUGGCGAUCUUGAGUCCGGGAGAGGUGAGUGGAACUCCGAGUGUAGAGGUGAAAUUCGUAGAUAUUCGGAAGAACACCAGUGGCGAAGGCGGCUCACUGGCCCGGUACUGACGCUGAGGUGCGAAAGCGUGGGGAGCAAACAGG